rnacentral:lncRNA from 1 species
ACAGAAACGCCGCUUGGCCUUUGGACUACACCAUCUGUCGCUCGCUCUAACGAGCCGGCGUUGCCGCCAGGGGACGCUCGGGCCGCAGGAGGUCGCUGGGUCGUGAGCUGGCGCCGGGGACGCCGAGCGACUGCGGGGUUUCCCUCAGCGUCCUGCUAUCCGGCUGCCCGCCGCGCUCCUUGGUAGUGUCCGUGGGCGCGCAGGCCUUGAAGAACCUCCUCGUGGCGGGACCCCGAGGUAACUGCUGAGGCAGAUAAUGGCGCCUGGGCUGCGGUGGGGCUUGUCCUGCCGCCUGGCGGCUUUCUGCAGGGCCAGGAUAUACUUACUUUUCUGUAAACCAACUCUUCCUUAGCGCAGGAGAGGUGUCAAAGAGCUGGCGCGUCUCCAGAGCCCCGGGAGGAAGGCUGUAACGGCAGCCCCAUCGUAGACAGGGACAUUCGCAUCCCGAGCCCUGGAUCUCUGAAAACCAGCCCAGAAUUUGGAAGCUGGAAGGAACUUUAGAUCGUCCAUUCUGAGUGUCUCUCUUCGCUGGCGUUUUCCCACUGAGGUUAUGUAAACAUGAAGAGGAGCCUACAAGUGUCAAGGAAAAAACGACAGCUAACCACAGGGCAGGCCAUGGGCAAGAUAUCUCAGUGUUCUCCGCUCUCAUAGGUCAGGCUGGAGUGCAGUGGCACGAUCACAGUUCACUGCAGCUUUGUUCCUGGACUCAAGUGAUCCUCCCACCUCAGCCUCCCAAGCAGCUGGAACUACAGCCCACAGGGGAGAUGGUCAGGCCAGUGUGGGGGCUAAUGAAUAAAUGCUACACUGUGCCCACUCAGAGACGCAAAGUCAAGAGUAGGAAGAAGCCAACCUCUGAGGUCACGACCCCCAGGAGACCUGGAGGACUGAAUGCUGCUGCCCCCAAGGAGGAGGCUGCCGUCUUAUCCCAGGAGGGAGAGCAGGAAAAUAAAAAGGUUCAAAAGGAAGUUGCUGCGUAUCCAUCUGAGGCCUCUGAGGACAGCAAAGAGCAAAGGCCCUGGGACCGGGUCUACGUGCCCAUGACAGAGCUCUGGCUGGACUGGUUCUGAGC